AUGGACGGCGACAGGCGGGCUCCGGCGGCCGCCGCCGCAUCGGCGGCAUCAGUGCUCGGCGACGACGACCUCCUCCGCGAGAUCCUCAUCCGCCUCGGCUUCCCCAACUGCCUCGUCCGCGCCGCCCUCGUCUCCCAGCGCUGGCUCCUCCACGCCUCCGACCCGGCCUUCCUCCGCCGCUUCCGCGAGCGCAACCCGCCCCGCGUCCUCGGCGUCUGCGCCGGCUACUCGGUGAGACCGUUCAAGUUCGUGCCGCUCCCGCAGCCCCCGGAGCUCGCCGCUCUCUCGCGGCGCGCGGCCUCCUCCUGCGCCUACGCCUUUGCCCGAGGAGGCCAGCGCAUCGAGCACUGCCGGAACGGCCGCCUCAUCGUCGAGUCCCUCCGCAAGGGAACAUUCAAGCACUCGGUCCUCGCGCCGCUGCUCUCCGGGGAGCCCGAAGCGGUCCUCCCACCGAUCCCGCCGCCCCGCCGUCACCCGCAGGAGCCCACUCAGGGGGCAUUCACCCAGAUUUUCCUGCCCGAGGAUGGGGGGCGCGACGGCAUCACCUUGGUGAAUCUGUGGAAGGUCCGGCGAGAAGUCCGUGCGGAGGUGUACGUGCUGGGAGCCGGCGGAUGGGGCGUCCCUACCACCGCCAUGGCAGAGAUAGAGCUCCCAUACGCUGCAACCUUCUUUGCAAAAAUGCUACCACCUGUCCAUGGCAAGGUCUUCGUGGUGACCGGCUUUGGGUACACCCUGGGUCUAGAUUUGGCCGCGGCAACGUUUGUGAUGCUGCAGCUACCAGCUGGAGUACAGUACAAUUAUAUGCUCUCAUCUGCAGAGGGUUCCGGGAUCUAUCUUGUCACUGCCGACCGGUUUCAGCUCAGUGUGUGGCUCCAUCAGAUGACAGGCGACAACCAUGGUGCAGGCGGCUGGCUCUUGAUGGACACGUUUUCAGUUCUCGAGGCAUGCGCACGUCUUGCGGGUGACAGUUGGGUGCCUUGUGAAUAUCUUAAUGUUGCCGCCGUUGGAGACAAUGCCGACUUUGUGUUCUUGGAUCAUCCAUCAAGCGGUGUUAUCUUUUCUGUUCAUCUCAAUAGCAGGGUGGUUAAGAAAGUGUAUCAGAGGACGGCAGAUGAACAUGAGUGUAGAAGUGUGGCUGUACGUAUCUCUCCUGUUAUGACGAUCUGGCCGCCUAUAUUCCCAGCGCCGAACAUAGGACAUGAUCAAGAGGGGAUUGUUAGGGCUGUCAGAUCUCUCGACAGAAGAUGA
rnacentral:rRNA from 1 species